GCUUAGCCCCGAUAGAGCCGUUAUCCUUUUAUGGCAGGGUUUGCCAUAAAAGAUAAAGGCGAAAGCGGGACAGGUC
rnacentral:sRNA from 1 species